UACGUAGGGGGCUAGCGUUGUCCGGAAUCAUUGGGCGUAAAGAGCGUGUAGGCGGCCCGGUAAGUCCGCUGUAAAAGUCAAAGGCUCAACCUUUGAAUGUCAGUGGAUACUGCCGGGCUAGAGUCCGGAAGAGGCGAGUGGAACUCCUGGUGUAGCGGUGGAAUGCGCAGAUAUCAGGAAGAACACCAACGGCGAAGGCAGCUCGCUGGGACGGUACUGACGCUGAGACGCGAAAGCGUGGGGAGCGAAC
rnacentral:rRNA from 1 species